GACGAACGCUGGCGGCGUGCUUAACACAUGCAAGUCGAACGGAAAGGCCCUGCUUUUGUGGGGUGCUCGAGUGGCGAACGGGUGAGUAACACUUGAGUAACCUGCCCUUGACUUUGGGAUAACUUCAUGAAACUGGGGCUAAUACCGGAUAGGAUCUCCUGCUUCAUGGUGGGGGUUGGAUAGUUUCGGUGGUUGGGGAUGGACUCGCGGCUUAUCAGCUUGUUGGUGGGGUAGUGUCUUACCAAGGCUUUGACGGGUAGCCGGCCUGAGAGGGUGACCGGACAAAAUGGGACUGAGAUACGGACCAGACUCGAACGGGAGGCAGGAGUGGGGAAUAUUGCACAAUGGGAGGAAGCAUGAUGCAGCAACGCCGCGUGCGGGAUGACGGGCUUCGGGUUGUAAACCGAUUUCGCCUGUGACGAAGCGUGAGUGAUGGUAAUGGGUAAAGAAGCACCGGCUAACUACGUG
rnacentral:rRNA from 1 species